AUGGUGAUCUUAUGCGCGUGUGCGGCUGCUCGGCCACGGAAACACAUUUCACGAAUUUGGAACUCGGUAGUGAGUUUGAUCCCUGAGAUCUCCUCCCUGUCCUGGGUCACUACCACUGUGCCUCUGGUCAUGGUGCUGUUGAUCACUGCAGUUAAAGACGCCACUGACGACUAUUUCAGGUAUAAAAGCGAUCAGCAGGUCAACAGUCGUCAGUCUCAGGUACUCAGGGGAAAUCUACAGAAUGAGAAGUGGAUGAAUGUACGCGUGGGAGAUAUCAUCAAGCUGGAAAACAAUCACUUUGUGACAGCUGACAUUCUGCUGCUCUCUAGUAGUGAACCAUAUGGACUGUGUUACAUAGAAACGGCUGAGCUAGACGGGGAGACCAAUCUGAAGGUUCGUCAGGCUUUGACUGUGACCUCAGACUUGGGAGCAGACAUAACAAAGCUGGCUGACUUCAAUGGAGAAGUUAUCUGUGAGCCUCCCAACAACAAGCUGGACAAGUUCACAGGUACUCUGUACUGGAGAGAUAACAAGUACCCUCUGGAUAAUGAAAAGAUGCUGCUGAGAGGCUGUGUGCUCCGGAACACGGAGUGGUGCUUCGGAAUGGUCGUCUUUGCUGGGCUGCAAACCAAACUGAUGCAGAACUGUGGGAGGACUAAAUUCAAAAGGACCAGCAUUGAUAAACUGAUGAACACUUUAGUUUUAUGGAUAUUUGGCUUCCUAGUCUGCAUGGGUGUGAUCCUGGCUAUUGGCAACACCAUCUGGGAGCAGAAGGUUGGGAGGAGCUUCAGUGUCUAUCUCCUGUGGGAUGAACCAAUCAGAAACAACAAUGUGGUGUUCUCUGGGUUCCUCACCUUCUGGUCUUACAUCAUCAUCCUCAACACAAUGGUGCCCAUCUCUCUCUACGUCAGUGUGGAGGUUAUUCGUCUGGGCCACAGUUACUUUAUUAACUGGGACAGGAAGAUGUAUUACAUCCAGAAGGACACUCCAGCUGAGGCCAGAACCACCACGCUCAAUGAGGAGCUGGGCCAGGUGGAGUUUAUCUUCUCAGACAAGACAGGAACUCUCACACAAAACAUCAUGGUCUUCAACAAAUGCUCCAUCAACGGGAAGAGCUAUGGUGAUGUUUAUGAUGAAUUUGGCCAUAAAGUGGAAAUUACAGAGAGAACGGCCUGUGUAGAUUUCUCUUUCAACCCUCUGAGUGACAGGAAGUUUAAGUUUCAUGACAGUAGCCUGUUGGAGGCCAUCAAGAUGGAGGAGCCAUCAGUGCAGGACUUCUUCAGACUGCUGGCUUUGUGUCAUACUGUCAUGCCUGAGGAGAAGAAUGAAGGUAAUGAAUUUGCUGGUGAAGGCUUGCGAACACUGGCCCUGGCCUACAAAGACCUAGAUGAGAAUGUAUUAGAGGAAUGGAUGAAAAGGCUUCUGUAUGCCAGCACUGUGAUAGAGAACAGAGAGGAGGGACUGGCUGAUCUCUAUGAGGAAAUAGAGACAGGCCUCAUGCUCCUAGGAGCCACAGCAGUAGAAGACAAACUGCAGGAGGGGGUUCCUGAAACAAUCGCCUGUUUGACCCUGGCCAACAUCAAGAUUUGGGUUCUCACUGGGGAUAAGUUAGAGACGGCGAUGAACAUCGGCUACUCCUGCAACAUGCUGAGAGACGAUAUGAACGAAGUGUUUAUCAUAUCAGGACAUUCUGUCUUAGAGGUGCAGCAGCAACUCAGGUUAGGCCUCAUGGUCAUGAAACAGACUCUCAGUCAUGACUAUACCUAUGACUUCUCAGAGGAUUCUGUAUUUGAAGAAACCAUAAUAGCAGAGUAUGCCUUAAUCAUCAAUGGACACAGUCUGGCCCAUGCCCUGGAGCCUGAGCUGGAGCAGGUCCUUCUGGAGACUGCCUGUCUGUGUAAGACAGUGAUCUGCUGUAGGGUGACUCCCAUGCAGAAGGCCCAGGUGGUGGAGCUGGUCAAGACGAACAAGAUGGCUGUGACUCUGGCCAUAGGAGACGGAGCCAAUGACGUCAGCAUGAUCAAGACUGCUCAUAUAGGUGUAGGUAUAUCAGGUCAGGAGGGCAUGCAGGCUGUGCUAGCCUCCGACUACUCCUUUGCCCAGUUCCGCUAUCUGCAGCGUCUCCUGCUGGUCCACGGCCGCUGGUCCUAUUUCCGCAUGUGCAACUUCCUGUUCUACUUCUUCUACAAGAACUUUGCCUUCACCCUGGUGCACUUCUGGUUCGGCUUCUUCUGUGGUUUCUCAGCUCAGACGGUUUAUGACCAGUGGUUUAUCACUCUCUUCAAUAUAGUCUACACAUCCCUGCCAGUUCUGGCCAUGGGGCUUUUCGAUCAGGAUGUGAACGAAGCCAACAGCCACCGCUACCCUAGCCUGUACCGUCCAGGACAGCUCAAUGUCCUGUUCAACAAGAGACAGUUCUUCCUGUGUACGCUGCAGGGGGUGGGCACCUCCUUCCUCCUCUUCUUCAUCCCCUACGGAGCCUUCUGCCUCGUCGCCAGGGACGACGGAUCACACAUCUCAGACCAGCAGGCUUUCGCCGUCAUCAUAUCAACAUCCUUGGUCAUAGUGGUGAGCGUUCAGAUGCAAUUGUACAAAUAUGCAGAGCAUUGUUUUGAGUCCGAGGGUAUUUUUGUUGUGUUUUUUUCAGGCACAGCCCGUAACUGUCUGACUCAGAAGAGUGUGUGGCUGGUUAUAAUGCUGACCACUGUGGCGUGUGUCAUGCCAGGGUUGGCAGUCCGCUUUCUGAAGACAGACCUUUACCCCACCCUGACAGACAAGGUGCGGAGCCUGCAGCAGGCCAGCAGAAAGCUGGGUCCCAAGGAGCAGAACCUGAGACGUGUUCGGAGGACCAGCUCCCGGCGCUCAGCCUACGCCUUCUCCCACCAACAGGGCUAUGGAGAGCUCAUAACCUCAGGGAAGAACAUGAAGAGGAAGGGGGAAACACCGGUAGCCUGUGUCUCUGCUGAGGCCUACGGAACAUCCGGAACCUCGGAAGGCAACACUAGAACUCAACAGACUGUAAUGGAUUCUAAUGUUGUUUCCAAUGGGGCCGUUCAGACAUGA
rnacentral:lncRNA from 13 species